UACAUCUCACUCCAGACCAUAUCCUGAACUCCUGAAAAUACUGUAAGUAAACGUUUGCCUUUACACACCUUGAUCGCAACGUCAGGGUUGCGGCACGCCGGGAAAACGACACGGAACAUCAGGAAGGGGGCAAUGGCCGGUACGCUAAUCAAGUAAGCGUGGAAUUUUGUCUGAUCUUGACGAAAAGGGGAAGAGUUAAAAGCGCUUAUCAAUAUAAAUCAUGGGAGAUUUUUGCAUUCAAGUGUGUAAAAAUGCGCAAUAUCACUUUUUGUGUGGGAAUAAAAAGGAGAAAACUUGAUGAGCACCGAUCUGAAAUUUUCGUUAGUGACCACCAUUAUUGUGCUGGGCCUGAUUGUCGCAGGCGGUCUGACUGCCGCACUGAACUGAUUU
rfam:Citrobacter koseri ATCC BAA-895, complete genome.